GCAACAGUAGUGUAGAGGUAACAUGCUCGCCUUCCAAGCGUGCGCCCCGGGUUCGAUUCCCGGCUGUUGCA